AAGGGAGAGGAAUAGGUAGAAAUCUACCCUCGGGACGGGGAUAGCGGCGGGAAACUGCCGGUAAUACCCGAUAACAUCUUCGGAUCAAAGGUGUGAUUCCGCCUGGGGAUGAGUCUACUUCCUAUUAGCUUGUUGGCGGGGUAAUGGCCCACCAAGGCAACGAUGGGUAGCGGGUGUGAGAGCAUGACCCGCCACACUGGGACUGAGAACUGCCCAGACACCUACGGGUGGCUGCAGUCGAGAAUCUUCGGCAAUGGGCGCAAGCCUGACCGAGCGACGCCGCGUGCGGGAUGAAGGCCUUCGGGUUGUAAACCGCUGUCGUAGGGGAACAAAUUUACGGGGGUUCUCCCCUGUAAUUGAGUGAUCCUAGGAGGAAGGAGAGGCUAAGCUCGUGCCAGCAGCCGCGGUAAGACGAGCUCUCCAAACGUUAUUCGGUAUCACUGGGCUUAAAGAGUUCGUAGGCGGCCUUGCAGGUGAGGUGUGAAAGCCCUCGGCUCAACCGGGGAACUGCGCUUCAAACCGCAAGGCUGGAGGGAGAUAGAGGUGAGCGGAACAGAUGGU
rnacentral:rRNA from 1 species